GUGGGGCAGGGCAGAGCAGACCGGAAGGCGCUCCGUGACCCUUUCGACACUUGGUGCAUUGGCCGCAACUGUAUCGCCCGCAUCGCCACGGUCUCAGUCCUUCAGGUUUCCUGGGGUUAUCGCGUUGUUUGAUGGGUCGUUUGAUGACUCCGCCAUUGGAUUGGGAGGAAAGAAGAGAAUUAAUGUUUAGUAAGCACUUGCUGAAAUCCUUCAUCAGCCAGGCUGAGCUUGAUCCUAUUGGGAUAUUUUGAAAUUUACAUCACGUGGACCUUGGUAGGAGUGAUGAAAGAUGGGCAAUUUCGGCCACAGCCAGAUAUCCCUAGGGAACCAUUCUCAGCUCCGAAUGGCUCUCCUCACUUAAUCACAAGUUAAGCCUCUGACUUAGAGAAAGUGAGGUGCAGUCAAGGCGGCAGUGGAUACUUUUAGCCACAAGGGGGCGCCAAGAGCACAGGAUGUAGAAGGCAAACAGCAAGGGAGAAGGGCCCAGGGCCUAGGAAAGGGAGAUGAAGGAACGGCGCGGGCUGGAGAUGUAAGCGGAGCCCUGAGGCUGACUGUGGCUCCACACUGAGCUGUAUCAGGGACCCAGGGAGAAAGAACUCAGGGAGAAGAGCAAUGCAUGAAACUGAAAAAAAAACUUUCAAAAACAACUGUCAUGGACUUUUCUGGUGGCGCAGUGGUUGAGAGUCCGCCUGCCAAUGCAGGGGACACGGGUUCAAGCCCUGGUCCUGGAAGAUCCCACAUGCCAUGGAGCAAAUGGGCCCGUGCGCCACAGCUGCUGAGCCUGCGCUCUGGAGCCUGUGAGCCACAACUACUGAGCUCGCAUGCCAAGAGCCCGUGCUCUGCAACAAGAGAGGCCACCACAGUGAGAAGCCCACACACUGCAGCGAAGGGUAGCCCCCGCCCACCACAACGAAAGCCCACGCGCAGCAACAAGACCAAAUGCAAAAAAAAAAAAAAACCACCAAAGAAAUAAAAACAACUAUCAUUAGAAAACCCUAAAGAUUCCACAAAAACCUUAGAAUAAGUAAAUUCAGCAAAAUGACCAGAUACAAAAUCAACGCACAAAACUACAAAACUCAGUUGCAUUUUAUUGACUAGGCAUGAACAAUUUCUGAAAAGGAAAUUAAGAAAAAAAUUCCAUUUACAAUAGCAUCAAAAAGAAUAAAAUACUUAGGAAUAAACUUCACCAAGGAGGGGAAAGACUUGAACACUGAAAACUACAAAAUGUUCCUGACAAAAAUUAAAGACAACACAAAUAAGUGGCAAGACAUUCGUGUUCAUGGAUUGGAAGACUUCAUAUUGUUAAGAUGCCAAUGCUACCCAAAGCAAUUUACAGAUUUAAUGCAAACCCUACCAAAAUCCCAAUGGUAUUUUUUUUUCAGAAAAAGAAAACUCAAUCCUAAAAUUCAUAUGGAAUCUCAGAGGACCCUGAAAAAGAAUAAAGUUGGAGGUCUCACACUUCCUGAUUUCAAAACUUAUUACAAAGCUAUAGUAAUCAAAACAGUGUGGUACUGGCAUAAAGACAGACAUAUAGACCAAUGGACUAGAAUAGAGAUGGAAGCAAAUGCUUGCAUAUAUGGUCAAAUGAUUUUCAACAAGGGUGCCAAAACCAAUCAAUGGGGAAAGAACAGUCGUUUCAACAAAUGGUGUUAGGAAAACUAGAUAUCAACGUGCAAAAGAAUGAUGUUGGGCCCUUGCCUUACAUCAUAUACCAAAACUAACUCAAAAAUGGAUCAAAGACUUAAAAAUAAGACCUAAAACUAUAAACUCUUAGAAGAAGACAUGAGGGAAAGCUGCAUGACAUUGGAUUUGGCAGUGAUUUCUUGGAUAUGACACCAACACGGGCAACAAAAGUAAAAAGAGACAAAGUGGACUACAUCAGAAUUUAAAAUUUCUGUGCAUCAAAGAGCGUGAUCAACAGAAUUAAAAAGCAACCUAAGGAACAGGACAAAAUAUCUGCAAAUCAUAUAUCUGAUAAGGGGUUAAUAUCCAGAAUCUAUAAAGACCUCCUACGAUACAACAACAAAAAAAUAAAUUUGGAUAGCCAUCUCUCUAAAGAAAAUAUACAAAUAGCCAACAAGCACAUGAAGAAAUACUCAACAUCACUAAUUAGGGAAAUGCAAAUCAAAACCACAAUGAGAGGGACUUCCCUGGUGGCACAGUGGUUAAGAAUCUGCCUGCCAAUGCAGGGAACACGGGUUCUAGCCCUGGUCUGGGAAGAUCCCACAUGCUGCAGAGCAACUAAGCCCACGUGCCACAACUACUGAGCCUGUGCUCUAGAGCCUGCAAGCCACAACUACUGAGCCCACGUGCCACAACUACGGAAGCCCACAUGCCUAGAGCCCAUGCUCCGCAACAUAAGAAGCCAUUGCAAUGAGAAGCCCCCCCCCACACCGCCACGAAGAGUAGCCCCCACUUGCCACAGCUGGAGAAAGCCCACGCACAGCAACGAAGACCCAACGCAGACCCACCCCAAAAUAAAUAAAUAAAUAAAUUUAUUUUUUUAAAAGUAGAAUUACCAUAUGAUCCAGCAAUUCCACUUCUGGUUAUACACCCAAAAGAAUUGAAAGCAGGGUCUCCAAGAAAUACUUAUACACCCAUGUCCAUGGCAACAUUAUUCACAAUAGCCAAAAGGUGGAAGCAACCCAAGUGUCCAUCAGUGGCUGAAUGGCUAACAAAAUAUGCUAUAUACAUACAGUGGAUUAUUGUUCAGCCUUAAAAAUGAUGGAAAUACUGACACAUGCUACAACAUGGAUGAACACUGAAGACAUUACGCUAACUGAAAUAAACCAGUCACAAAAAGACAAAUACUGUGAGAUUCCACUUAUAUAAUGUACCUAGAGUACUCAGAUUCAUAGAGACAGAGGGUUGAAUGAUGGUUGC